UUAACUUAAAAUAAAUAUGUAUUAUAAUUUAUUUAUUUUUCAUAAUAAUAAGAAAGGGAAAUAACAAUGAAAGGGAAAAUAACAUACUUGAAAAGGGAAGGUUGAAAGAACAAGGUUUUCCCCCCCCACACUUAAAUGGAACAUUGUCCCCAAUGUUUCAAAGAAAACCAACGAAAUAGAAAAAAGAAAAAGAAACUAAAAUCAAUGCUG
rnacentral:lncRNA from 1 species